GGAUUAGGCAUGCAAGUCGAACGAGAAAGGUUUCUUCGGAGACCGAGUACAGUGGCGAACGGGUGAGUAAUGCAUAGACAACUUACCCCCGAGAUGGGAAAAACGCCUCGAAAGGGGCGCUAAUACUCAAUAUUGCCGCGAUUCCAAGGAGUUGCGAUGAAAGGAGGCCUCUGAUUUAAGCUUCCGCUCGGGGAGAGGUUUAUGUCCUAUUAGCUUGUUGGUGAGGUAACGGCUCACCAAGGCGACGAUGGGUAGCCGACCUGAGAGGGUGACCGGCCACAUUGGGACUGAGACACUGCCCAAACUCCUACGGGAGGCUGCAGUCGAGAAUCUUCCGCAAUGCGCGCAAGCGUGACGGAGCGACGCCGCGUGGGUGAUGAAGGCUUUCGGGUUGUAAAGCCCUGUCAGUUACUAGGAAUUGUGGGUGGUGAAUAACUAUCCUGCUUGACCAUGUAACAAAGGAAGCACCGGCUAAAUACGUGCCAGCAGCCGCGGUAAUACGUAUGGUGCAAACGUUGUUCGGAAUCACUGGGCCUAAAGAGCGCGUAGGCGGCUAUGUAAGUCAGAUGUGAAAUCCCUCGGCUCAACCGAGGAACUGCACCUGACACUGUCUGACUAGAGUGCAGGAGGGGAGAGUGGAAUUCCUGGUGGAGCGGUGAAAUGCGUAGAUAUCAGGAGGAACGCCGGCGGCGAAAGCGGCUCUCUGGUCUGUUACUGACGCUGAGGCGCGAAAGCUAGGGGAGCAAACGGGAUUAGAUACCCCGGUAGUCCUAGCCCUAAACGAUGGGCACUAAGUAGAGGGGUUUU
rnacentral:rRNA from 1 species